AAUCAUAAACCUUUCAUUAUUUUUCUCUCUUUCAUCGUUCCUCCUCCUUUCCAUUAUCGAUCUCUUAGAAGAAAGAGGGCCUAAGAUUUCUAUUUUUCUUCUCAACUCCUUCUUCGCAGUAUUUCAUUUUCUUUCUUCUCAACCUCUUCUUUUCGUUUUUUUUUCGUUUUUUUUCUUCUCAAAAGCAUGAACUGAGAAAUCGUUCAUAUCAAUUAAGAAGAAAUCUGGAGAAGUAAAUAAAUCAAGAAGGUGUUACUGAUUUUGUGAAUUUGGUUUUGGUUAGGUUUAUUAUUGAUUGAAGAGCGACGAAUCAGUAAGAAAUAGAGUUAGGGUUUCUAGAAUUAGUAUUGAGUUUGUGCAAAAUCAAAGGAGGAAUUAGUGUAUUGAAUAACAGAAGGAGGAGAUGGUGGAGUUGUAUUAACUCGGUUAUAGAGAUAGGGUAAAUCAUAGAGAGGAAGUUAGGGUUUUGAAAUUGAUUUAAGGUUCAAUUUGUUGCCCGUCGCAUUGAGGCCGUAUUGGAUAUGAAGAUGGAGCUGGUGGUUGAGUUCAAGUGUUGAAGUUGCAGCUGCUCUAAAAGAUACAGAAAGUGGACCAAUCAGAAAAAAAAAAGCUACAGAAAGUGGAGAUACAAUUGAUGUGUGAUGUGUUGAUGAGUCUGAGAAGAUUAGAAGUAGGGUUAUGGUAGGAGAUUGUAUGAUAUUGCAGUUGUAGAAGAUGAAUUCUGGUGGUGGAUAAGAAUCUGGUUUGAACUGAUGUUGAUGGUUGAACCGAGUGCAGUCAAGCCAUGGCAUUGCAUGUGGUCUGGAACUGAGAUUGGUAAGGGUUCAGCUGGUGCUAGUUGUCCUGUUGAGAUGUUGCAGAGCUGAACUGAAUGGUGUUGGGAAGGCUGAAUGAAAGAAAUGGGUUGAGCAGUAGCUGGAGAUUGAAGCAGCUGCUGCAAUGGAAACUGAAGGGUUUAGCUGCAGAGGUCACAACAACCUUCAGCCAUCGGUUGGCUCCAUUAAAUUUGAAUGUGAAUGAGCUUACUGGGGACAUGCAACUAUCAAGGAGUGAGCUUGAGGAAACUCAGAUGAUAGUGACAACACCUGAGAAAUGGGAUGUCAUCACUCGCAAAAGCAGUGACAUGUAAUUGUCAAUGCUAGUGAAACUGUUGAUUAUUGAUGAAGUACACCUGUUGAACGAUUAUAGAGGACCUGUAAUAGAGGCAUUAGUUGCAAGGACUCUUCGCCAGGUAAAGUUUCCUUAUGAAGUCUCUCAUUUCCACUUCACCUUCUGUUGAUAACUGAAACUUAUAGUACAAUUUUGAGAAGCAAACUACAUAACUACUGAGGAUGACUUCAACAUUAAUGAAGUAUUCUAACUACCACCCUUGUUGUUGUACUUAUCGAGGAAUUUUCUCAAGCACCUUAGGCAUCCAUGCAGCUGUGGGUCACAGAACCCAUAUGAAACUAGCUAAAGGGAGAUUUAUUAUAGGAUUCAUGUUGAGUCCACACAGUCAAUGAUACGCAUUGUGGGUAUUUCUGCCACUCUUCCCAAUUAUUUGGAGGUUGCAAACUUUCUGAGGGUGAAUCCGGAGGCAGGUGGUUGAUGGGAAAUAUUGACAGAUUGCUAGGUAGCUGAGUUGGAGAUAGCUUUCUCUAUUCCCGGUAUACAGAAACAAUACAAGGCAGGUGCUGAUCCAAAUGGAUGACCAGAUGGAGUAAAAGCUCUGCCACUUGUAGCUGAACUAGAGGCAUUGUCUGCAGCAGCAAAGACCGUUGAUCAUUUUAAACUUGUGCGUAGUUGCACAAUUACUUCCUGCUAGCCUGUAAUGGUGUUUAUCAACAAUAAAACUACAAUCUGGAGUCUAAAAAGCUGUGUGUGUAUGUACCGGUUCAGGUUGGCAUACAUAUUUCUGUUUAGCUUUCAUUCCCGUCUUUACCUUGAACAAGGCAUCAGCUAGAAAAGUAAAUUGUUGCUUGAUGAUAUCACGAGCCUUGAGGACCUGCCAUCUCAUAGAGGUAGAUAUUGCUAACAAGAAAAUUAUCAGCGGACCCACAGGCUUCAAGCACUUCAAUAUAGGAUUGCCUACAUCGAGUUUUCUGAUGCUCAAGCUUUCAACAAAGCAAGCCUGCAAAGGAUAUAAUGAACUAGCUGUUGUUAUUUGAAUGAUGCUCUAUUUCAUCAGAAAGAGUGGAGAACAAAGGAGCUUCAAGAUUUGUAAGUUCCAUGUAUUCAAGGUUGUAUUUGUUCCCUUAAAAAUUUGGAACCUUCCAUGUAUUCUUUGAGAAAUUUGAUACUUA